UGAAUGGGGGUUGUAAUUUUAAUACAAUUGUCAAUAUUUAUUUCACCGAAAUUUCAAUGUCUACAAAUGCCCCCACUUCAAGGCACGUUGUAUACAUGUGCUUGUCACACGUGGAAGAUGCGUUUUGAAGUCCCUUAAUGUAGAUGUCGAUCCAAGGGCCGUUGAGGCUUAAUCUUGAAUUGGGCUGGGAGUUUCUUCAAGUGCCGUUGAGGCUUGUUCUUGAAUUUUGUUUGAAAUUUCUUCAAGGGCUGUUGAGGCUUGAUCUUGGAUGAAAUUUAAACCACAAGGAGCUUCAUGUGGUAGAUGAUCUUUGGCUUUGGUAAUGGAUGAAUCAGCACGUAUUUUGUUGUGCUUGUUGACGUUCCACAACUUUGAUCUUGAAUUAGGUUGGAGGGUUUUUCUGGUUUCCUCCAAAGGACUUUCCACAGACUUAAUCUUGAAUUGGAUUUGAUUCAAGGGUGGUGGACACUUGAUCUUGAAUCGGACUUGUGAUUUCUUCAAGGGCCGUUGGGGCUUGAUCUUGAGUAGUUUUCAAGGUUUGAACACCUGGCAGGCAGGCAC
rnacentral:lncRNA from 1 species